AAUAAAGAUGAACUAAAAUAAAGAUGAUUAAUGUAAAUUUAUCACAUUAAAAUCAAGAAGAAACAUAGUACUUAGUGUGCAAGUUCUCAAUGUUUUGGUAUUAUCAUUGAAACAAUUUUUUAAUUUUAUGAGUCUCUAGAACAGGGCCAUAUACUAAUGUGUAUUUCAUUAAAUAUAGCUUAAUUAAAUACAUUUUUGCGUGUAAGAUUGUAUAAACCAAAUAUAACAUUGCUUUCACCUUAGGACCAACAGUGACACAUCCAAAAUAUUUACAAAUUCAACUCCAAGAGCCUGGAAGAAAGAUGCAGCCCUUCACAGACAUUCUCAAGAAGCAGCUUCCUCUGAAUCGUGGCACAUUUCUCCACCUGUAUAUUAAAGGCCCUUCCUAUCUUCCCACGAAAGAAAGGACCUUCGUUCAAACAAAAGAAUAGGGAGAAAGGCUGAUAAAGGUCAAAUGAUAGCAAUGCCAUAUUCUAGAGUUGCGAGGCUAACACAGCAUCAUGGCUGGCAUGAGAAGAUGCUCAAUGUGUUUACUGGAGUGAAUUUAAGGGUGUAAGCAUGAGUUGACGUUUCUUAUCGUGGUAAGUUUUUACUGUCUACUUUGAAGUACAACACACAGAGAAGUGCACAAAAUACUAAUGUGCAG
rnacentral:lncRNA from 1 species